rnacentral:rRNA from 1 species
GACGAACGCUGGCGGCGUGCCUAAUACAUGCAAGUCGAACGCAGUGGGGACGGGUGAGUAACACGUGGGUAACCUCCCAUCAGAGGGGAUAACACUUGGAAACAGGUGCUAAACCGAUACUGAUGGAUGGACCCGCGGUGCAUUAGCUAGUUGGUGAGGUAACGGCUCACCAAGGCCACGAUGCAUAGGCGAACCGAGAGGGGUGACGGCCACACGGGGACUGAUACCCGGGCCAGACUGCCACGGGAGGCAGCAAGAAGGAAUUCUCGGCAAUGGACAAAAUGCUACCCGAGCACGGCGGGUGGGGGAAAAAGGGUUUCGGAUCCUAAAACCCGGUUUUUUAGGGAACGGUAUCUAACCAGAAAGCCACGGCUAACUACGUGCCAGCAGCCGCGGUAAUUC